AUUGAACGCUGGCGGCAGGCUUAACACAUGCAAGUCGAGCGGAGAUGAGGUGCUUGCACCUUAUCUUAGCGGCGGACGGGUGAGUAAUGCUUAGGAAUCUGCCUAUUAGUGGGGGACAACAUUCCGAAAGGAAUGCUAAAACCGCAUACGCCCUACGGGGGAAAGCAGGGGAUCUUCGGACCUUGCGCUAAUAGAUGAGCCUAAGUCGGAUUAGCUAGUUGGUGGGGUAAAGGCCUACCAAGGCGACGAUCUGUAGCGGGUCUGAGAGGAUGAUCCGCCACACUGGGACUGAGACACGGCCCAGACUCCUACGGGAGGCAGCAGUGGGGAAUAUUGGACAAUGGGCGGAAGCCUGAUCCAGCCAUGCCGCGUGUGUGAAGAAGGCCUUUUGGUUGUAAAGCACUUUAAGCGAGGAGGAGGCUACCUGGAUUAAUACUCUAGGAUAGUGGACGUUACUCGCAGGAUAAGCACCGGCUAACUCUGUGCCAGCAGCCGCCGUAAGAC
rnacentral:rRNA from 1 species